AACUGCUUUUGUAUGGGGAUAAAGUUAGGGACGUGUCCCUAUUUGCAGGUACCAUAUGAAUAAGGACCGGCUAAUUCCGUGCCAGCAGCCGCGGUAAUACGGAAGGUUCAGGCGUUAUCCGGAUUUAUUGGGUUUAAAGGGAGCGUAGGCUGGAGAUUAAGUGUGUUGUGAAAUGUAGACGCUCAACGUCUGACUUGCAGCGCAUACUGGUUUCCUUGAGUACGCACAACGUUGGCGGAAUUCGUCGUGUAGCGGUGAAAUGCUUAGAUAUGACGAAGAACUCCGAUUGCGAAGGCAGCUGACGGGAGCGCAACUGACGCUUAAGCUCGAAGGUGCGGGUAUCAAACAGGAUUAGAUACCCUGGUAGUCC
rnacentral:rRNA from 1 species